rnacentral:rRNA from 1 species
UACAGAGGGUGCGAGCGUUGUCCGGAAUCACUGGGCGUAAAGGGCGCGUAGGUGGCCCGGCAAGUCCCUGGUGAAAGCUCGAUGCUCAACAUCGAGUCGGCCAGAGAUACUGCGGGGCUGGAGCACUGUAGAGGCAGAUGGAAUUCCGGGUGUAGCGGUGGAAUGCGUAGAGAUCCGGAAGAACACCGGUGGCGAAGGCGGUCUGCUGGGCAGUAGCUGACACUGAGGCGCGACAGCGUGGGGGAGCAAACAGGG